rnacentral:rRNA from 1 species
CAGUAGCCACGGGAAUACGAAGGGUGCAAGCGUUACUCGGAAUUACUGGGCGUAAAGCGUGCGUAGGUGGUUGUUUAAGUCUGCUGUGAAAGCCCUGGGCUCAACCUGGGAAUUGCAGUGGAUACUGGGCGACUAGAGUAAGGUAGAGGAUAGUGGAAUUUCCGGUGUAGCAGUGAAAUGCGUAGAGAUCGGAAGGAACAUCUGUGGCGAAGGCGACUAUCUGGGCCAUUACUGACACUGAGGCACGAAAGCGUGGGGAGCAAACAGGAUUAGAUACCCCGGUAGUCCCUGUCUCUUAUAC